GUCCCGCAACGAGCGCAACCCCUAUCCUCAGUUGCCAUCAUUUAAGUUGGGCACUAUAGAGAGACGCCUCGGUAAACGGGGAGGAAGGUGGGGAUGACGUCAAGUCCUCAUGGCCUUUAUGUCCAGGGCUACACACGUGCUACAAUGGAUGGUACAAAGGGCAGCGAACUCGCGAGAGAGAGCCAAUCCCAAAAAACCAUCCUCAGUUCGGAUUGGAGUCUGCAACUCGACUCCAUGAAGUUGGAAUCGCUAGUAAUCGUGGAUCAGCAUGCCACGGUCCGAAUACGUUCCGGGCCUU
rnacentral:rRNA from 1 species